rnacentral:lncRNA from 12 species
AUGAGUGGCUUCCUCUCGGACCCGAAGUCGGGGCGGGUGGCCCAAAGUGAGCUUGGACACUGCAUGUCCCCCCAUCCCCCGGACCCCCCUCCUCCUGCCUUCUUCCUGCGGGAGCUUUGUUCCUCCCUGUCCCCAAGGUGGCUGCCUGCCUCCGACCAUCACAUCAGACAAAGGAGGUCACAUCCCUGUGGCCAAAGGGGUGAACAGUUCCAAGUCUGCUGGAAACAAGAGCCCUCCUGUCAGCUGUACACAGGGACCCUUAUGCCGCAUCGGCAGGAAACGGGCCACGUGGCCACAUCGGACACACCAGGGCUUCCGUGGGAGGGACGGGGCGUGGAUGUCGAGCCAGCCACCGGCAGGAUCCAUAGAGAGACGCGGGUUACUCACGGUGAGUCCUUGGGUCCGCAUCCUCCCGCGUCCUCCUGCGUCCUCCACUCGGCGGCAGACCGACCCCAUGUCCCCGCCGCCGGGGCAGCCCGCCCCUCUUGGUCCCACCUGCCCGCCUGGACGGGCCCUCACCCCCGCAGCCCCCUUCCCGGGUUUCCCCGGGACCCAGAGGCCAGAGACGCUCAUCGUGCUCCACCUGCCAGGCCAGGCUCCCUGGAAAUUACCGGGGUGGGAAAGAGCAUUGCUCUGGGUGCCGGGGGCUGGAUUCCCCGCGGGUAGGGGGCACAGAAGUGCACACUGCCCCGUACGGGUGCCCGCAGAGGAGCGGCGUCUCCCCCCUGUCCAUGACAUGUGCCUCAGCGCCAAAAUACAGAACAGGUUCUCUGAGGCAAGUUUACUGAGAAAAGGUCAAUUUUAAAUGAAUCUGUGCCCAAAGUGCUGUGCAGCCCGCAACGGCAGGGGGGACACAGCGUCCCGGGGCUGCAGCCGGGCCUGCGCCAUGGUGCAGAGCGGCUCAGGGCCCCGCCCCCUGCCCUGUGUGGCAGGGACACCCCGCUGCCCUCCGUGUGGGCCAGGAGGCUGCGCAGCCCCCGCGGGCAGGUGCGCCCACCUUCCUGCCCCGUUCACUUGCUGCUUUCACAUGGUUUCGUCUAACUGAGCACUUACGCUUCCUUCCGGGAUGGAUUUGUUCACUGCUUUUGGGUUAUCUCCUGAGUGCUUGCUCUCAGGCGGACGGGAAUGCCCCUGGGACGCAUGCCUGCUCCCCUCCUGCCGGAGCCCCCUUCGAGCAGCUGACACUCAGCACCUGUGAACGUGGCAAAGCCGACACGAUCAUACCAUGGAACGUUAUGUAAGCUCUGAAGGAGCCGCAGGGCACCGGGGGGCUCAGUCGGUAAAGCGUCCAACUCUUGGUUUUGGCUCGGGUCGCGAUCGGGGUCCUGGGCACGAGCCCCACAUCAGGCUCUGUGCUCAGCGGGGAGUCUGCUCCAGAUUCUCUCUCUCCCUCUGCCCCUCCCGCUCGUGCUCACUCUCAAAUAAAUAAUUCUUUAAAAAAAAAAAAAAAAAAAAA